UACGUAGGGAGCGAGCGUUGUCCGGAAUUACUGGGUGUAAAGGGAGCGUAGGCGGGACUGCAAGUCAGAUGUGAAAUGCCGGGGCUUAACCCCGGAGCUGCAUUUGAAACUGUGGUUCUUGAGUGAAGUAGAGGCAAGCGGAAUUCCUGGUGUAGCGGUGAAAUGCGUAGAUAUCAGGAGGAACACCGGUGGCGAAGGCGGCUUGCUGGGCUUUUACUGACGCUGAGGCUCGAAAGCGUGGGUAGCAAAC
rnacentral:rRNA from 1 species